UAAGACCUGCGAAACUCUAUAACGCAUCUCCUGAAUGCAACUCAGACACUUUAAUUAAGCUAAGACCUC
rnacentral:tRNA from 3 species